rnacentral:lncRNA from 1 species
AGGUUUUCACGUGUUUUGAGAGAAAUCUUACUGAAAGACUAGUGAUGUCCAUUUUCCAGUAAAUACUGAGCGAAAAACAAUUUUUAUACCCCAAUCUGAGGUAUAAACUUGCUUUUUGUGGGAUCACAACUGCUGUAAAUUAGACAGUUGUAGCAACAAUCCAAGACAAUAACAGAAUGCCUAUGACAGUCUGCCAUAUUCUGGUGAGUGUCUAUCAAAGCUCAUCAUGAUUUUUUGUGAGAUCUUCCCCGUAAUUGGUAGCUUGGCUUCCAACAAACAUGUUCCAGUUCUCCAAUAUUUCCUCUUUAGUUAGCUUCUCAUCCUUGUUUUUGUCUGACUCAUAUACCAGAUGCCUGGCCUCAGCCUGUGCAUGAUCAUAAUCUUGAGGGAGGAUCCAGUGGCGAAUCUCAUCUUUGUCUAACUUCCCGUCCUUGUUCAGAUCCCGGAAUUCGUUAAACUGCUCCCGUUCUGAUAAAACCCAGUCUGGCUCAGGGCCAUUCUCCUCAUGGGAAAACAUAUCCGCAAUAUACUCAUCCUGAUCCACAAACCCAUCCCCGUUCUUGUCGAUGUCCUCCAGGGUUUCCAAAGCCACAAUUUCCUUCAUAUGUUCAAACUCUUCAGGAUGCAGAAAGGCAGUGAACUCCUCCGGAGUAGCUGUCAGGUCACCAUUGAGGUCUGCAGCUUUGAAUCUUCUCUCAUCACGUGGCAGCAUCUUUUUAAAGGUUUUCAGCUCCUCAGUAGUGACAAAGCCAUACCCAUCAUUGUCGAUUCGAUCAACAAUCUUCCCUAGCCUCUCCUUGCUCUCGUCCGGGGUGAGCUCGUCGAAGUUCUUGGAGUCCUCCUUGCCCAGGAAGGCCUCGUGGUCGUACUGGAAGCUCUGGUUGUCCUCAGGGGGCCGCUCGCCCAGCUCCGAGUCGGGCCGCACCACGCGCUCUUUGCGCACCGUGGGCUUGGCCCGCAGAACCCGCGGCGCCAGCACCAGCGCCAGCAGCAGCCCCAGGGCUAACCCCAGGCGGCCACCGCGCGCCAUCGUCCCGAGGAGAGGGCGGCCGGGAGGGAGACGCUGAGCGAGCGACAACAGCGGCAGCUCGGGAAUGGGGGCUCGGAGCGCGGCGG